UACUAGAGGACGGCGCAGAGCGCGGGCCAAAUUCCCGCAAACUGGUUGACAAGACGUCAGCUUGCUUCCACUACAGCGCCACUCCUCAUCUAUACAAUACAGGUAAUAAGUGUAACAAGAAGCAGUGAGAAAGAGUAUGUACACAGAGAUUUACCUCUUGUAAACCUACAAGAAAAGAAAAUUGAUCAACGUUUUUUUCUCAGAAAUGUUCUGAUAAAUUAAGGCACAAGCUUUUACUGACAUCUGGCCUUGGUGCAUUAAAUACGUGACAUGAAAGACAAUUACGUCUGUGCAGUUAAUCGUUGAGUCUGAUGUCUCAGCACUCAUCGUCUCAAAACUGAAUUUAUUUCAGCAAUCAAGGAAAACAAUACAGAUUGAAAGUUUGAAGUUUAAUAAAAACCAGCACUUCCACAAAGAUAAGCAAAGCGACUAUUCGAUCAAAGAAACCUAUCUAACUAAUAGCAAACAAAACAGAACGAACAUUCGAU